UCUACAAAAAAUUAAAAAGGCCCAAGUGAUUGAAAUGAUAGUUUUGGAAAAGCACCUUUUUCUUAGGCCAGGCUUUUGUAAUCCAAGCCUCAGCCUAGAGCCACUGCGCACAGACAGGUCUCAGGACCCUCCAAAAACAGCCUCACAUGAAACUACGAGCAGCCGGGUCCCAGCACUGUCACUGACUCAGCUGGCCGGGCACACGCCGGAGCGACACAUACUCUAUCGAUUCCAGCCAUGGGCUGCUAGCAUUGGGCCCGAUGUCCAGCCAUGGAGAUCUGGUGGGAGGGAGCUUGAGGCACUGGUAACUUAUAAGCCAGAAAGAGAAACAGAGGCAGCAUUUAGUUCUUGUUCCUAUUCUCCUGGGACAAGAGAGUGAUCUAUGUCAUCUCCUCUUUGGUGCUGAAAGAACCACACACUUCUGUUUCAGGUCCUCUACUAAAACGUUUGUGCUGACGUCUCCCUUGGUCUUCAGAGUUUAACCUGUGGGAGUUGUGGCCGGAGUGAUCUGUGUCCCACACCAUCUCCUGGACCCACUCCAAGCUGUUUUCAGAAGCACGUCCUUCUCAAUCAGAAACUCAAAAGUCCGGAGCAUGACCCGCUCUACCCCCGACUCUCCUCCCUGCAGCCCCGAGAAGGGCCACCGCAAGGGUGAGGCACAUGGGAAUACAAAGAACCAGUAUGGAAGCGCUGGACAUGUCAUUUGUGACUCAUUCUUUUAAUUCACCGUGCUAAUCAACUGAACCGCCACAGCCUCCCAAGCAGGAGGAUAUGAGACCUGGAGAGGAUAUCCCUGGCCAAGAAGGCAUCCUACCUGCUGGAGGGCAAGAGGAACAGGCUGCAGACAGCAGAGAGCUGCCCCCUCCCCGCACCAGCCCCAGAGCAGCAAGAGCUGGGCCCGGCCAUGCUGGGAAUUGAGGGAAUGCUGACAUUGCAGGUUCUGCCACACCAUGUGAUACCUGCCAGCCAGUGACAGGCAGCUCCUCCCACCCUACACAUCCGCGUCUGUCUACAAAUGCACAGCCCAAGGCCUUUCUCUACAGCACUGGGGACAGAAUCCCCAGGAGACAGCAGGCGAAGUGCAAAGAAAGGACUGGACCUUUCCGCAAUCUUCUUUCUAACAAUAGCUGUGCAGACUUCCCCACCAAAAAGCCCACGUAUGCAAAGAUCUGAACUCAUGAAAGGAUCCGCUGAAGGCAUCCACUAAAGCGUUCAUCCGGGAUGGGCUGACAGUCCAGUGUGAGAACAGGGGGCUUAUUCAUUCACUUCUGUGCGGAGGCAGUCAGUCUUGCCACAUGCAAACACACGUCACUUUCGUGUCACAAACCAGGACCCCGCAGCAGACACAGGCACCUACACGGGAGCCCACCCCUGGCAUGUGCCCGCUGAAGCUCAGGUGCUGCUCCAUGGCUCACAAGCAAUAAUCAAUACCCGUUUUCCUAAGGAGCUCAGGACUCGAGCAGGAUCCCACAGAACCCAGCAGAAGUUCACCCUCAGUGACUUUCCACAGGAAGGACCAUUUAUGCCAUGUGUUAGACACUAUACAUAAGUCAUCCCUGAUCCUUACCGAAACCUUGCCAGGUAGAGCAGAGGAGAAAUUGAGACCACAGGAGUAAGCAUAUGCCCAGGUCCCAGUCUGUCUGCAAACACCAGGUCUCUGCACAGGGCCUGCAGCCUCUACAGCCAGAUGAGCCAAGGGACUCAGGGGCAUGUGGUACACAUACCAACAGUUUGCAUGAGGAAGCGUGUGGAAAUGUGCACUGUGUGGCUUCAGCGCACACAUGAAAACAGCCCUACGGCAAGGUGCCAGAAAGGACCCCCCCGCCCACGGCGGGGUUCUGAUGUCUUGUCUCUCCCAGGUACCUGGAGCCUACAGACGCUGCACUUUAUUGCACAGCAGAAGUUCUUAUUUGUUGAAGUGUACAGAAGUGUUUAAAAGGCGCCCCAAUUUUUAGAACCCCGUUGUGACAUGUCUUUAUUUUUUAAAACACUGGGAUUCCAAAACCUGGAGGAGCGGCCCUCUCUCCAUCUCAGAGUCUUACAUGCAGGCCAAGAGGUGUCCGGACAUCAGCUCUUUGCUGUGCCCACCUCCCCUGUGGUCUUCCGGCAGCUCCUGGGCGCCUGGUCCUGCGUGUGCUGGUCCCACAGAAGGCGGCCUCUAGUGUGGGGCAAGCACUGCCUCUCCCACCCUAACCCCAUGGAGAGUGCCGAGCUGUCGACUGGACGCCUCUGGGACAGCAGCCCUGGCCCACCACCAAGACCCAUCCAGGCACACCCUGGGGUGACGCUGGGCCUGAUGUACAGUGGGCAGCGGCAGGAUGCAUAUCUUGCCCUUCUUGCUCACUCAGUCCUUCCUAAGAAGGGAAGAGGCUGAGGGAUGUCUAUUGCCUCUUUAAACCUUCCGAAAGCAGAGGGGGCUUAGCAUCCUCCAUGUCACCCACUCUCCGGACAGAGGAGAGGAUUGUCCCCCAGUGGGCAUCUUUCAGGUGGUGAUGGCAGGAGUUGAAGCCCCAUCCCCUAGUCCAGGUUCCUGCUGUGGCCCUCACGGCCACCCCAGGACACCAGGCCACAGUCACCCAGCCACUGCACAAGCAGGUCAAGGCCACAGAUAGUAAGUAUUCAUCUCGUUCACUGUCAUCGGGUUCCAGCAGGCACUGUCCAUCAUUAAAAACAUCCCUCAAAUAUCACA